AAGGUGCAACAGGUAGUUGCUGGUGACAUCUUUGUCACGAGAGGAAAGUCCGGGCUGCAUGCAAAGCAGGGCUCCAUCUAACAGAUGGCCAGAGUAAUCUGAGGGCAAGUGCAACAGAGAGAAAGUAGUCCAUAUCUUUUAGGUAUGGUCAAUGUGAAAGGGUGGGGUAAGAGCCCACCAGUACUUAUGGUAACAUAGGUAGCUAGGUAAACCCUGUCCGCAGCAAGAAGUAUAUGGUAUAAGCUUUGCAAGCUGUUAAAUCAGCACACAUACUUCGCUCGAGCAUAGUGGCAACGCUAUGCCUAGAUAAAUAACUACCCACGACAAAACCCGGCUUAUCGUUGCACCUUAACU
rnacentral:RNase_P_RNA from 1 species